CGAACGGGUGAGUAAUGCGUGACCAACCUGCCCCAUGCUCCAGAAUAGCUCUUGGAAACGGGUGGUAAUGCUGGAUGCUCCAACUUGACGCAUGUCUUGUUGGGAAAGUGUUUAGUGGCAUGGGAUGGGGUCGCGUCCUAUCAGCUUGUAGGCGGGGUAAUGGCCCACCUAGGCUUCGACGGGUAGCCGGCCUGAGAGGGCGGACGGCCACAUUGGGACUGAGAUACGGCCAGACUCCUACGGGAGGCAGCAGGC
rnacentral:rRNA from 1 species